rnacentral:rRNA from 1 species
GCUGGCGGCGUGCCUAAUACAUGCAAGUCGAGCGAACAGAUAAGGAGCUUGNUCCUUUGAAGUUAACGGCGGACGGGUGAGUAACACGUGGGUAACCUACCUAUAAGACUGGGAUAACUUCGGGAAACCGGAGCUAAUACCGGAUAACAUUUAGAACCGCAUGGUUNUAAAGUGAAANAUGGUUUUGCUAUCACUUAUAGAUGGACCCGCGCCGUAUUAGNUAGUUGGUAAGGUAACGGCUUACCAAGGCGACGAUACGUAGCCGACCUGAGAGGGUGAUCGGCCNCACUGGAACUGAGACACGGUCCAGACUCCUACGGGAGGCAGCAGUAGGGAAUCUUCCGCAAUGGGCGAAAGCCUGACGGAGCAACGCCGCGUGAGUGAUGAAGGGUUUCGGCUNGUAAAACUCCUGUUAUUAGGGAAGAACAAAUGUGUAAGUAACUGUGCACAUGUUGUACGUGUACCUA